rnacentral:rRNA from 1 species
UACGAAGGGGGCUAGCGUUGUUCGGAAUUACUGGGCGUAAAGCGCGCGCAGGCGGUCUUCCAAGUCAGUGGUGAAAGCCCGGAGCUCAACUCCGGAACUGCCAUUGAAACUGUAAGACUUGAGGAUGAGAGAGGUGAGUGGAAUUCCCAGUGUAGAGGUGAAAUUCGUAGAUAUUGGGAAGAACACCGGUGGCGAAGGCGGCUCACUGGCUCAUAUCUGACGCUCAGGCGCGACAGCGUGGGGAUCGAAACAGG